rnacentral:rRNA from 1 species
UACAGAGGUCCCAAGCGUUGUUCGGAUUCAUUGGGCGUAAAGGGUGCGUAGGUGGGCAGGUAAGUCAGUGGUGAAAUCUCCGGGCUUAACCCGGAAACUGCCAUUGAUACUAUCUGUCUUGAAUACCGUGGAGGUGAGCGGAAUAUGUCAUGUAGCGGUGAAAUGCUUAGAUAUGACAUAGAACACCAAUUGCGAAGGCAGCUCACUACGCGAAUAUUGACACUGAGGCACGAAAGCGUGGGGAUCAAACAGG